GACGAACCGUGCGAACGUUAUUCGGAAUCACUGGGCUUAAAGCGCGUGUAGGCGGGAGGGCACGUCCGUCGCUGAAAUCCCCCGGCUCAACCGGGGAACGGGCGCGGAUACGACCUUCCUGGAGGGGCGUAGGGGGACCUGGAACUUCCGGUGGAGCGGUGAAAUGCGUUGAGAUCGGAAGGAACGCCCGUGGCGAAAGCGAGGUCCUGGACGCCUACUGACGCUGAGACGCGAAAGCGUGGGGAGCAAACAGG
rnacentral:rRNA from 1 species